UACGGAGGGUGCGAGCGUUGUUCGGAAUUAUUGGGCGUAAAGCGCACGUAGGCGGUUCGAGAAGUCUCGAGGUGAAAGGCCGGGGCUCAACCCCGUGCUGGCCGGAGAUACUCUUGGACUGGAGACAGGGAGAGGCCAGUGGAAUUCCGGGUGUAGCGGUGGAAUGCGUAGAGAUCCGGAAGAACACCGGAGGCGAAGGCGGCUGGCUGGCCCUGAUCUGACGCUGAGGUGCGAAAGCGUGGGGAGCGAACAGG
rnacentral:rRNA from 1 species